GCAGGCCUACACAUGCAGUCGAGCGGUAACAGGAAUUAGCUUGCUAAUUUGCUGACGAGCGGCGGACGGGUGAGUAAUGCCUGGGAAUAUGCCUUGAUGUGGGGGAUAACUAUUGGAAACGAUAGCUAAUACCGCAUAAUGCCUACGGRCCAAAGAGGGGGAUCUUMGGACCUCUCGCGUCAAGAUUAGCCCAGGUGGGAUUAGCUAGUUGGUGGGGUAAUGGCUCACCAAGGCGACGAUCCCUAGCUGGUUUGAGAGGAUGAUCAGCCACACUGGAACUGAGACACGGUCCAGACUCCUACGGGAGGCAGCAGUGGGGAAUAUUGCACAAUGGGGGAAACCCUGAUGCAGCCAUGCCGCGUGUAUGAAGAAGGCCUUCGGGUUGUAAAGUACUUUCAGUUGUGAGGAAGGCGGUAACGUUAAUAGCGUUACCGUUUGACGUUAGCAACAGAAGAAGC
rnacentral:rRNA from 1 species